CCUACGGGAGGCAGCAGUGAGGAAUAUUGGUCAAUGGCCGUAAGGCUGAACCAGCCAAGUCGCGUGAAGGAAGAAGGAUCUAUGGUUUGUAAACUUCUUUUAUAGGGGAAUAAAGGUAUCCACGUGUGGAUAUUUGCAUGUACCCUAUGAAUAAGCAUCGGCUAACUCCGUGCCAGCAGCCGCGGUAAUACGGAGGAUGCGAGCGUUAUCCGGAUUUAUUGGGUUUAAAGGGUGCGUAGGUUGUUUUUUAAGUCAGCGGUGAAAGUUUGUGGCUCAACCAUAAAAUUGCCGUUGAAACUGGAAGACUUGAGUGUGUUUGAGGUAGGCGGAAUGCGUGGUGUAGCGGUGAAAUGCAUAGAUAUCACGCAGAACUCCGAUUGCGAAGGCAGCUUACUAAGCCAUAACUGACACUGAAGCACGAAAGCGUGGGGAUCAAACA
rnacentral:rRNA from 1 species